rnacentral:tRNA from 1 species
GGACCGGUAGCUCAGUUGGAUAGAGCAACUGCCUUCUAAGCAGUAGGUCAAUGGUUCGAAUCCAUUCCGGUUCACAA